rnacentral:rRNA from 1 species
AUUGAACGCUGGCGGCAUGCUUUACACAUGCAAGUCGAACGGUAACAGGCCGCAAGGUGCUGACGAGUGGCGAACGGGUGAGUAAUGCAUCGGAACGUGCCCAGUCGUGGGGGAUAACGCAGCGAAAGCUGCGCUAAUACCGCAUACGAUCUAUGGAUGAAAGCGGGGGACCGUAAGGCCUCGCGCGAUUGGAGCGGCCGAUGUCAGAUUAGGUAGUUGGUGGGGUAAAGGCUCACCAAGCCAACGAUCUGUAGCUGGUCUGCGAGGACGACCAGCCACCAUGGAACUGAGACACGGCCCAGACUCCUACGGGAGGCAGCAGUGGGGAAUUUUGGACAAUGGGCGCAAGCCUGAUCCAGCAAUGCCGCGUGCAGGAAGAAGGCCUUCGGGUUGUAAACUGCUUUUGUACGGAACGAAACGGUCUGGGUUAAUACCUCGGGCUAAUGACGGUACCGUAAGAAUAAGCACCGGCUAACUACGUGCCAGCCGCCGCCGUAACAC